rnacentral:rRNA from 1 species
ACGCUGGCGGCAGGCCUAACACAUGCAAGUCGAGCGGUAGAGAGAAGCUUGCUUCUCUUGAGAGCGGCGGACGGGUGAGUAAUGCCUAGGAAUCUGCCUGGUAGUGGGGGAUAACGUUCGGAAACGGACGCUAAUACCGCAUACGUCCUACGGGAGAAAGCAGGGGACCUUCGGGCCUUGCGCUAUCAGAUGAGCCUAGGUCGGAUUAGCUAGUUGGUGGGGUAAUGGCUCACCAAGGCGACGAUCCGUAACUGGUCUGAGAGGAUGAUCAGUCACACUGGAACUGAGACACGGUCCAGACUCCUACGGGAGGCAGCAGUGGGGAAUAUUGGACAAUGGGCGAAAGCCUGAUCCAGCCAUGCCGCGUGUGUGAAGAAGGUCUUCGGAUUGUAAAGCACUUUAAGUUGGGAGGAAGGGCAGUUACCUAAUACGUGAUUGUUUUGACGUUACCGACAGAAUAAGCACCGGCUAACUCUGUGCCAGCAGCCGCGGUAAUACAGAGGGCGCAAGCGUUAAUCGGAAUUACUGGGCGUAAAGCGCGCGUAGGUGGUUCGUUAAGUUGGAUGUGAAAUCCCCGGGCUCAACCUGGGAACUGCAUUCAAAACUGACGAGCUAGAGUAUGGUAGAGGGUGGUGGAAUUUCCUGUGUAGCGGUGAAAUGCGUAGAUAUAGGAAGGAACACCAGUGGCGAAGGCGACCACCUGGACUGAUACUGACACUGAGGUGCGAAAGCGUGGGGAGCAAAC